rnacentral:lncRNA from 1 species
GCGAUUGGGUCUUUUAAUGUGUUUUCACAAAGGCAAAGAGUCGAGGGCAUACUGGGUCCUUGAUUUUCGUAUGUUUCCACAUGAUUGGGAACUUACUGUCCAUAACUAACUAUUUCUGCCAGUUUGGAUGUUGGGUCUACAUUCACUCGCUCUGGGUGCGACUCUUCUAAGUACCGCUUCAAAAAUGUGUCAUAUGAGGCUCGUUUGAUUAGUACUACUUUUUUCAUCUUAUCCUCUCUGGUGAAGACUAGGCCAUUGUCUAUUGCCCACUGGUUCGUCUCCUUAAGAAGUCUUUUUUGUGUCAUUAUUGCAUUCUGAUUCCUUGCUCUUUCACCUAUGCUUGCUAUUUCCCGAACGUACUGCCAUCUUAACUUUUGUUUAUCUAAUUUAGGGACUUGCAAGCCAGAUAUUAAGUCUUCAAUGUAUGAUAUUUCGUCGCAUGGGUUGCCAGGCGGAAAAGUGGCACAAGACGUCCCUUUCUCGAAUAGGUCUUUUACGAAAUGCGGGAUUUGUAUAUCCCCUAUUAUGGUGAGGGCAUCUUCUAGUUUAAUGUGGG